rnacentral:rRNA from 1 species
CUAGCUGUAAACGAUGGAUACUAGGCGUUGAGAGUAUCGACCCUCUCAGUGUCGUAGCUAACGCGUUAAGUAUCCCGCCUGGGGAGUACGCACGCAAGCGUGAAACUCAAAGGAAUUGACGGGGGCCCGCACAAGCGGUGGAGUAUGUGGUUUAAUUCGAUGCAACGCGAAGAACCUUACCAGGGCUUGACAUGUCCGGAACCCUGCCCAAAGGCGGGGGUGCCUACGGGAACCGGAACACAGGUGGUGC